rnacentral:misc_RNA from 1 species
CAACCCUUAAGCCCCUGUUGCUUAGCGUUAGGAGCCUACCGGAACUCUCUGGUAGCUCCCCAAAGUCAGUGGCGGAGCCGGUUCGCACUCCAGACGUAGUAGCUUUUACACGUCGCCUGUAGCGCGGGCCGGUCCCCUGCCGUAAAACACCCCAAUUUUUAUA